rnacentral:rRNA from 1 species
CAGUAGCCGCGGGAAUACAGAGGGUGCGAGCGUUAAUCGGAUUUACUGGGCGUAAAGCGUGCGUAGGCGGCUUCUUAAGUCGGAUGUGAAAUCCCUGAGCUUAACUUAGGAAUUGCAUUCGAUACUGGGAAGCUAGAGUAUGGGAGAGGAUGGUAGAAUUUUAGGUGUAGCGGUGAAAUGCGUAGAGAUCUGGAGGAAUACCGAUGGCGAAGGCAGCCAUCUGGCCUAAUACUGACGCUGAGGUACGAAAGCAUGGGGAGCAAACAGGAUUAGAUACCCCGGUAGUCCCUGUCUCUUAUAC